UACGAAGGGGGCUAGCGUUGUUCGGAUUUACUGGGCGUAAAGCGCACGUAGGCGGAUCGUUAAGUCAGGGGUGAAAUCCUGGAGCUCAACUCCAGAACUGCCUUUGAUACUGGCGAUCUUGAGUCCGGAAGAGGUGAGUGGAACUCCUAGUGUAGAGGUGGAAUUCGUAGAUAUUAGGAAGAACACCAGUGGCGAAGGCGGCUCACUGGUCCGGUACUGACGCUGAGGUGCGAAAGCGUGGGGAGCAAGCAGG
rnacentral:rRNA from 1 species